UACGUAGGGGGCAAGCGUUGUCCGGAAUCAUUGGGCGUAAAGCGCGUGUAGGCGGCUCGAUAAGUCUGCUGUGAAAGUCCAGGGCUCAACCCUGGAAUGCCGGUGGAAACUGUCGAGCUAGAGUCCGGAAGAGGUGAGUGGAAUUCCUGGUGUAGCGGUGAAAUGCGCAGAUAUCAGGAGGAACACCAAUGGCGAAGGCAGCUCACUGGGACGGUACUGACGCUGAGACGCGAAAGCGUGGGGAGCAAACAG
rnacentral:rRNA from 1 species